UACGGAGGAGGCAAGCGUUAUCCGGAAUUAUUGGGCGUAAAGCGUCCGCAGGUGACAAAUCAAGUCUGCCGUCAAAGACCGGGGCUUAACCCUGGAAAGGCGGUGGAAACUGAAUUGCUAGAGUGUCGUAGGGGUAGAGGGAAUUCCCGGUGUAGCGGUGAAAUGCGUAGAGCUCGGGAAGAACAUCGGUGGCGAAAGCGCUCUACUGGACGACAACUGACACUCAGGGACGAAAGCUAGGGGAGCGAAUGGG
rnacentral:rRNA from 1 species